CACCGCGGGGCAGGGCGGCGGCGGCCCCCCGGGGGGCGGGGGGGCCGGGCUGCUGCCCACCGGGGGACGCCCGCCCGCUGAGAGGGGAAGGCUGGAGAGAGCCCGGCGGCGGAGCCCGGCCCGCGGAGCCCGGCCCCUCCAGGGGCUGAUUUCUUGGACCGCUCAGCACGUGAGGACUCACCAAGCGCACCCUCUGUGAGCUCUCGUAUCUUUUAAGAUCCC
rnacentral:lncRNA from 1 species